rnacentral:rRNA from 1 species
CUUUGACCUCGGAACAAGUAGGG